GCCGAAGUGGUGAAACUGGCAAACACGCACGGUUCAGAACCGUGUGCCUUUACGGCUUGCGGGUUCAACUCCCGCCUUCGGCA
rnacentral:tRNA from 1 species